rnacentral:rRNA from 1 species
AUGGAGUCCGCCUUUCCAACAGCUGCACGGCUCGGGCUCCAUGUCCUCCUCUACUCAUCGCUGCUCCUCAACGCCCUCUUCCUCGUGCACCACUUCCUCUCCGCCCCGCCGGCGCCCGAGGCCAACAACGGCGGUGCGCUGAGCUGGACGCUAAGGGCGGCCAGGGAUGCCGAGUCCGUGGCCGCGGCGGGAUGCUCUGGCCACGGCCGCGUGUUCCUGGAUGGCAUCGUCGGCGAGGACGGGCGGCCCGGGUGCGAGUGCAACACCUGCUUCGAAGGGCCGGACUGCUCCGCCCGGACGCCCGACUGCACCGUCGACGCCGACAGCGGGGACCCGAUGUUCCUGGAGCCACACUGGAUGCGGCACGCGGAGGCCAGCGCCGUGGUGGUCUCCGGGUGGCACCGCAUGAGCUACAGAGCCACCGACGGUCUCUUCCAGUCCGUCGAGCUCGAGCGCUGCAUCAGGCGGCUGCACAGGGCCGUCGGCAACGCCGUCGCCGACGACAAGCAAAUCGUCUUCGCCACCGGCUCCAUGCAGCUGAUCAACGCGCUGGUGUACGCCCUGUCCCCAGACAGCAACUCCGGCUCGACGGCCAACGUGGUCGCCACCACGCCGUACUACCCGGCUUACAGAACGCAGAUCGUGUUGUUCGACAGCCGGGAGUACAAAUGGGCCGGGAACACCUCCAUGUGGGCGAAAGCGUCGGGGAACUCCACCACCAAGGAGGACGUCAUCGAGUUCGUGACGUCGCCGAACAACCCCGACGCCCUGCUCCACCAGCCCGUCGUCGUCGGCUCGUCGGCGAUCCUCGACCACGCCUACUUCUGGCCGCACUUCACGCACAUCCCCGCGCCCUCCGACGCGGACGUCAUGCUCUUCACCACCUCCAAGCUCUCCGGCCAUGCCAGCAGUCGAUUCGGGUGGGCGCUGAUAAGGGACGAGAAGGUGGCCAAGAGGGUCAAUGACUACAUUAUGCAGAACACCAUGGGCGCGUCCCGCGACACCCAGCUCCGGAUGCUUGCCAUCUUCAAGACCAUACUGGCCAACCUGCACGGCAAGGAGGACAUCUUCGCCUUCGGGCACGACGUGAUGACGGCCAAAUGGCGCAAGCUUAGCGCCGUCGUGUCGCACUCCCGCCGGAUCUCGCUGCAGAACAUCCCUCCCCAGUACUGA